rnacentral:rRNA from 1 species
UCGAGCGCUGAUUUCAAGGUAGCAAUAUUUUGAAGUCGGAGCGGCGCAAGGGUGCGUAACACGUGGGUAAUCUGCCAUGAAGUUUGGAAUAACUUGCUGAAAGGCGAGCUAAUGCCGGAUGUGACAAUUGAGAGGCAUCUUCCGAUUGUCAAAGCUGGGGACCGUAAGGCCUGGCGCUUCAUGAUGAGCCCGCGGCCUAUCAGCUAGUUGGUGAGGUAACGGCUCACCAAGGCUAAGACGGGUAGCUGGUCUGAGAGGACGACCAGCCACACUGGAACUGAGACACGGUCCAGACACCUACGGGUGGCAGCAGUCGAGAAUUUUUCACAAUGGGCGCAAGCCUGAUGGAGCGACGCCGCGUGGGGGAUGAAUGGCUUCGGCCCGUAAACCCCUGUCAUUCGCGAUCAACCCUUAUUACUUAAAAGAUGAUAAGCUGAUAGUAGCGGAAGAGGAAGGGACGGCUAACUCUGUGCCAGCAGCCGCGGUAAUACAGAGGUCCCAAGCGUUGUUCGGAUUCACUGGGCGUAAAGGGUGCGUAGGUGGUGAGGUAAGUCGGAUGUGAAAUCUCGGAGCUCAACUCCGAAACUGCAUUGGAAACUACCUUGCUCGAGGAAUGGAGGGGGGACUGGAAUUCACGGUGUAGCA